GGUAUUCCGGCGGGCCUAUAAUGCAAGUCGUACGCUUCUUUUUCCACCGGAGCUUGCUCCACCGGAAAAAGAAGAGUGGCGAACGGGUGAGUAACACGUGGGUAACCUGCCCAUCAGAAGGGGAUAACACUUGGAAACAGGUGCUAAUACCGUAUAACAAUCGAAACCGCAUGGUUUUGAUUUGAAAGGCGCUUUCGGGUGUCGCUGAUGGAUGGACCCGCGGUGCAUUAGCUAGUUGGUGAGGUAACGGCUCACCAAGGCCACGAUGCAUAGCCGACCUGAGAGGGUGAUCGGUUCAUUGGGACUGAGACACGGCCCAAA
rnacentral:rRNA from 1 species